rnacentral:tRNA from 1 species
GCCGGAGUGGCGGAAUUGGUAGACGCAGCGGACUUAAAAUCCGCCGGUACCGUUAAGGGCCUUGUGGGUUCAAGUCCCACCUUCGGCA